rnacentral:rRNA from 1 species
GUCUAUGGCCAUACCACCCUGAGAAUGACCAAUCUUGUCUGAUCUCAGGCCUGGUUAGCACUUGGAUAGGAGAGACCACUUGGGAAUACCAGGUGCUGUAGGCU